rnacentral:rRNA from 1 species
UACGGGGGGGGCAAGCGUUGUUCGGAAUUACUGGGCGUAAAGGCUCGUAGGCGGCCAACUAAGUCCGACGUGAAAUCCCCAGCUUAACCUGGGAACUGCGUCGGAUACUGGAUGGCUUGAAUUCGGGAGAGGGAUGCAGAAUUCCAGGUGUAGCGGUGAAAUGCGUAGAUAUCGGGAGGAACACCAGUGGCGAAGGCGACUACCUGGCCUGUUCUUGACGCUGAGGCGCGAAAGCUAGGGGAGCAAACGGG